rnacentral:rRNA from 1 species
CCCUUAGAUGUCCGGGGCCGCACGCGCGCUACACUGACGAUGGCAACGAGUUUUUCCUUCGCCGAAAGGUGUGGGUAAUCUUUUGAAACAUCGUCGUGCUGGGGAUAGAUCAUUGCAAUUUUUGAUCUUGAACGAGGAAUUCCUAGUAAGCGCGAGUCAUCAGCUCGCGUUGAUUACGUCCCUGCCCUUUGUACACACCGCCCGUCGCUACUACCGAUUGAAUGGUUUAGUGAGGACUCCUGAUUGGCGCCGCCGCCCCGGCAACGGAGCAGCGGACUGCCGAAAAGUUGUUCAAACUUGAUCAUUUAGAGGAAGUAAAAGUCGUAACA